AACGCGUAUGCAACCUACCUUUAACAGGGGGAUAACACUGAGAAAUUGGUACUAAUACCCCAUAAUAUCAUAGAAGGCAUCUUUUAUGGUUGAAAAUUCCGAUGGUUAGAGAUGGGCAUGCGUUGUAUUAGCUAGUUGGUGGGGUAACGGCUCACCAAGGCGACGAUACAUAGGGGGACUGAGAGGUUAACCCCCCACACUGGUACUGAGACACGGACCAGACUCCUACGGGAGGCAGCAGUGAGGAAUAUUGGUCAAUGGACGCAAGUCUGAACCAGCCAUGCCGCGUGCAGGAUGACGGCUCUAUGAGUUGUAAACUGCUUUUGUACGAGGGUAAACGCAGAUACGUGUAUCUGUCUGAAAGUAUCGUACGAAUAAGGAUCGGCUAACUCCGUGCCAGCAGCCGCGGUAAUACGGAGGAUUCAAGCGUUAUCCGGAUUUAUUGGGUUUAAAGGGUGCGUAGGCGGUUUGAUAAGUUAGAGGUGAAAUUUCGGGGCUCAACCCUGAACGUGCCUCUAAUACUGUUGAGCUAGAGAGUAGUUGCGGUAGGCGGAAUGUAUGGUGUAGCGGUGAAAUGCUUAGAGAUCAUACAGAACACCGAUUGCGAAGGCAGCUUACCAAACUAUAUCUGACGUUGAGGCACGAAAGCGUGGGGAGCAAACAGGAUUAGAUACCCUGGUAGUCCACGCAGUAAACGAUGAUAACUCGUUGUCGGCGAUACACAGUCGGUGACUAAGCGAAAGCGAUAAGUUAUCCACCUGGGGAGUA
rnacentral:rRNA from 1 species